GGCGGAUGUAGCCAAGUGGAUUAAGGCAGUA
rnacentral:tRNA from 3 species